CGCAAGAGUUUUCCGGUAUUCAGACCGAAGUGGCGUUCAGGCCGAUUUUCCGAUUUUCAGAUCGAAGAAGUUUCCGACGAUCAGGUCGAAGUACUUUUUUCCGGUGUUCAGACCGAAGUGGUAUUCAGACCAGUUUUCCGGUGUUCAGACCGAGCCGGUAUCCAGACCGAAGUGGUGUUCAGGCCAAUUUUCCGGUGUUCAGACCGAAGUGGUAUUCAGACCAGUUUUCCGGUGUUCAGACCGAGGCGGUAUCCAGACCAAGGUGGGGUUCAGACCAU
rnacentral:lncRNA from 1 species